GUUGGAAAUUAGCAGCGAGGUCACAUUGUGAAUGUGCUUUCCCGGAUGGGCGAUCUAUGUACGGCGUGUACAUCUGAUGCUCAGCAACCACUCAACGGCGAUCCUCGUGAGCUUUCUUAACAAUAGCCAAUUUAGAAUGAGGAUCAGCCACAGCUAGAUCUUUGUAUGGCGCUUCACGGGUGCCGUGCAACAAUAGAUCCCAUUCCUUGAUGAAGCCAGUCUGUGUGUUUGGGCUGUUGAAUUUGAUUUCCAGCUUCCAGCGCCCCCGUGGAUUUUCACCCCACGUAUGAGUUGUCUACGUAAUAUUAAAAACGAUGAGCGAAUAUUAUUUCGAUAACGCUAUGACCUUUUAAAUGGUCAGUUGGGCCGUUGGAGCAAUCCAUAUUAUCCAAAGAAAUAUCGAAAACUUUACAAAAUGAAAGUAUGUACCAUAAAUGGCCAUUUGGCAAAUCCGUCCGUGUGAUCGUCAUCGUUCGGUCUGCGACUGAGGAUCAUCGACCUUGAUGCAUUAUCACUUCACCCCGUCUGGAGCUAUUCAGCGUAAUGACAGCCUGCACAUGCUCCAGAUAGUCGACUUGGUUUUCCGUGCCCCGACAGGCGUGGGUAUCGAUGAAGAGCGUCAGGGAUCCGUUGACCCACACCGUUCAUCUGCCACUUGAAAUAGCCUUUGCCAUCAUACAGCGAGUUCCGCUUUGACGUCAACACAGUGAGAUGUUGGAUGUCCCGCCAGGUGCCGCAGUAAUAAAACCUUACUUGACUUCGAGAGCCAAAGCAAAAACACCAGCUGCUUCCGGUGCCGCUGCGGAAGUGCCGGAAUGGGUCUUGGUGCAGCGGCCAUAGAGAUCGGUUGUGGCGACACCGGUCUUCGGGUCACCUCCGCCGUUGCUGAACGUCGACGCUAAGGUGGAUGUGCAGGAUUCGUCGUAAUGGGCAUUUUGCCCAUUAUUAAUAGCUGAAUUAAUAGAGAUGGUCCACAUGCUGGCAGCAUAUCCGUCACAAUUACAAUCAUCAUCUUCGCCGCCAUCGCCAGAGGCCCACACAUAAAUGUUACCCAGCCCGUUCCUUCCCUGCAAAAGCCGACUUGUGAUGUACAGUUAAUUAAUUCCCCAAAAUAAGUCGUAAAAAAAGAGCUUUGCGAUAAUUUCGUUUGGCUUGAUAACAAUUAAAUGGAAACAUAAAUAACUUUGUAUUAGUGAUUUAUAUUGUCUAUCGCGAACUUUUGGUGGAGAAUAAUGAUCGCGUAUGAUGGUACGCAAGGAGGGUGA